CUACAUCACGUUGAAACAUUGGUUCCCAUACGAUCAACGAAGUUAAGCAACGUCGAGCUUGGUCAGUAAAAAGAUGCGUGACCGUUUGGGGAUACCAGGUGAUGUAA